AAUAGAUACCCGGGUAGUCCACGCAGUAAACGAUGCAGACUAGGCGUAGGUGGACUUGACCCCAUCUGUGCCGGAGCUAACGCGGUAAGUCUGCCGCCUGGGGAGUACGGCCGCAAGGCUAAAACUCAAAGGAAUUGACGGGGGGCCCGCACAAGCGGCGGAGCGUGCGGUUUAAUUCGACGCAACGUGCAGAACCUUACCAGGGCUUGACAUGGACCUGCAGGACCGGGAAACCGGGAGGCCUUCGAGGGUGGUCCACAGGUGCUGCAUGGCUGUCGUCAGCUCGUGUCGUGAGAUGUUGGGUUAAGUCCCGCAACGAGCGCAACCCUCGUGGCUAGUUGUCGAUGUUUCUAGCCAGACUGCCGCGAGCAACGCGGAGGAAGGUGGGGAUGACGUCAAGUCAGCAUGGCCCUUACGUCCUGGGCAACACGCACGCUACAAUGGCCGGGACAGCGGGGUAGCCAAACCGCAAGGUGGAGCGAAUCCCGUGUAAACCCGGUCUCAGUUGGAAUUGUGGGCUGCAACUCGCCCGCAUGAACG
rnacentral:rRNA from 1 species